rnacentral:lncRNA from 1 species
CAAAGAAAACAGAAGCUGAGAUAUAGAAGUUUAAGAGAUUUAUUGAGAGGUAAUACCUGUGGAAAAUAAAAAGAGGAGGAAGUCAUAUUGGAUGGGCAAGGAAAACAGAAUCUCUGACCAUGAAAUGUAUUUGGCAGUCUUGCCCAGCCCAGUGGGGAGCUAUGAAAUAGAUUACACAUUAAGUAGAAAAGCCUGUCACUAAUUCCUGUCUUCUGCUCAGCCUUUGGCCCAGGACUACCUAGAAGAAGGCUGCCUGUGCUCAAAAGUGGUUGUGGAUCCCAUAGGUGCUAACAUCUGGAGGCUGUCAGUUAGAAGUUAUAUUUCAUUUUACAGAAGAAAAUUAUAUCAGAAAGAUUUCUCUCACUAGAAACAAACAAUGAAGGAAGGGCUCACGAAUCUGGAAAGUUCAAAGUUGGUUGACCAGCUUACCUUUGUCAUGAUGGACCCACUUUACCAGUUGUUUUCGAUCUCUCCAUUCUGUCAAUUAUGGUGUACCCCUAACUCUGAAACUGGCUCCUUUAAUGGAUAUGAGAUAUACUUUCUUUUUCCUGUACAAGGAUACAAGCUUUUUGAUUGGUGCCACCCGCCCCCAGAGUGGGUCUUCACUCUUUGGUAAGUCCAUCAUUGAGACACACCUAAGACUAUGCUAAGCUAAUCAGUUGGGCAUUUCUUAAGCACAUUGACAAAACAGUUAACUGUCACACCGACUGUAUAUGUAACAUCUUCAGUGACUUUCAAGAAGUUGCCCUGAUGUUCAUAUUUCAUAUGAAGUGAAUGAUAUUGGGAUAUUGUUUCAAUUGCAGAGGUUUCUGAUCAUUCCUCCAGGAUAUGCUUAGUUAUAUACCAUGGAAUUAAUGUUCUAGAAGCAAUAUGUUCAUCAUUUCAUUUUCUUAUGCAAAUAUCUUCAGCGGCUUCAUUAUUGCCUGUGAAAUAUAAACUUAACAUUCCUUACUUAAUUUGCAUCAAAGCCUUUCAUUGUAUCAAAGCCUUCUAUUGUUUGUUCCAAAUCUACCUUUACAUACUUCUGCACCAUUAUUUUUUAAAAUUUCAUUAAUAUGUUUAGCAUUCUUCACACCUAUGGACAUAGGCACACAGCCUGAAAAACAGAAUGCAAUAACAAAAAAUCUCCUUUAAGCUGCUUUUCUGUUUGAAAUCCCUACCCCUAGGGGUAAAGAGGACUUCAUACAUCUUGCUGGUUUUAGACAUUUUGCUUUGGAAACUGGUAAGAUUCAUUGUCCAAACUAGAUCUAUUCUUUUGGGGUUUUUUUUUUGUUUUGGGGGGUCGAAUGUUUUUGGGGGUCGAAUUCAGGUCCUUGCGCUUGCACAGCAGGCAGCGAAACCAUUGAGCUAAAUCCCCGGCCUGCUAGAUCUAUUCUUUAUUUCUUCCUAAGUAAUAAUUCUUAUGUUAUUUGAAUGAUAGCAUAGUUUGCUUUACCCACAUUUCCUAGCCUUUCUAGCAACAAGAUACAUCCACAAGAUAACGUUGUAAAAUUGUUGAAAGGAUUCGAAGAGGGGCACCUUAAAGCUGUGUAGUCUUCUGCUUUUCUUCCUGCUUGCUGCCUAAGAAAUGAGUAAUAAUGGCUGGAGUUCCAGUAGCCACCAGGGACCAUGAAAUUACAAGUGGAGCUCAGGUCUGAGAAUGAUAGAAGAAAAUAACAGAAAAGACCCUGGGUUCGUGGUGACUUUAUGGAACUGUUAUGUUAGCUCUGGACUUCUUUUACGACAUUUCUUUGACUUUUAAGAUGCACCAUUUAUUUAUAUAUUAUUAAGUGAUGGAGCCCGCCAUCACUUGUUGAACAGUACCUGAAUGGGGGAGUGAGAAUGAAGAAAAAUAAAGACAAAGAGAUAGAGUCAGGAGGGCUCCCAGAGACCAAGCGCCCAAGUUUAUUUUUCUCCUCUCUUUUCUACAACAGGUGAGUUUGCUUGUUAAUCAUGACCCUCAUCCAGAGACACCUGCUUCCUUGUUUUCUAGUUCUUUGGGAAUUCCCCACCCUCAUGGGCUUCCUUGUUUCUCGGGGUUACAGAACAUUCAUCACGUUCCAGGACAAUCUAAUUCGGCAAGGACGUGGUUCCUCAUAACAUAGUCUCCUUGCUCUAUACAAUGGAGGGUAAGAUUCAAAAUGGAGCCUCUUUGGCUAACACCGCUCUCCUCACACUGCUCUCCACAUCUCCCCGUUUUAUAUAUUAUGAUCAAGGUCCCUUGAUCACGCAGAUAGACUGUGCCUGUCUUAGGCGAGGAAUAUAAAGAAAUCCCUUACCUGUCAUGGAGUCAAGAGCAUCACAGUACUCUUGCUUUGUCUUAGGUUGGUGAUUUCCUAUACUCCACUUACCCAUCAUUGACUACCAGCCUCUGCAGGGAAUUACACCAUGGGUUUAGGCGGUGUAGCAUGUAAUUAUAGACCAUGAAUACUUCCAGCCAUCCUCAUUAAAGAAUGCACAAACAUCUGCAGUAGUGCCGGAAGGAUCAUGCAUCUAAGAGGCAGCCCUCCUCCAAUAAUUACUAUGGAAAUGAGUUACCACGUAAAUGCAGAUGUAGAUGGCAGAACCUUUCUAAUUUGUUCGAUAAAAUCCUGUGCAGCCUGGGCUGCAUCAAAUUCCAGGGGUUCUGCAUUUUGGGGAUCUAUAAUAUCCAAAUCUAAGAACACGUUCGCAAAACCAUUAUCUGAUUUUCUGUUCGGGUGACACAACUGCUUAUUUGACAAUUAAAGCAAAUUACACUAUAAUAAUCAUAACCUUUCUGAACACUAAUAUUUCUUACAAGGAAUACAUAAGAGCGCAUGACGCUUGCAAUGACAUUUCUUUUGGGGUGACAAGAAUUUUCAGACCAGUCCAAAACAUAAGUAUCAAGUCCAGUAAUAUUAUAUCUCACAGAGGCAUCUGCCACACAUCCCUUCCAUGGAAUAGUCUUAUUGCAGCAUUAAAAGUCUGAGGCACUACACCAGUGGUCUCUAUACCCACAGGUAGAUGUAGAUGGACUCCAGUGAUCCCACCUUUGCAUUGAUCCACCUGCCUUCCUGUCAGGGUGCGAGCACUCAGUCUUAUACAAUCAGUUCUGUUGAUUUUGAAGAAACAUAUGGGGGGUUCCGGUUUCUGAUUCUGUAUAGUUGAACAAUUGGACCUCGUUCUUGUCAGGUGCUGCCGGCUCAUCCAACAGCCUGGUAUUGUUCAUCCAUACCAUUACUUGUCCAUUUUUUCAGCUCGUUGGAUGUACAACAGGUGGAUCAGGUGCAUAAGUCCAAUAAACAUUCUCAUUAAGCAUCAUCAUUAGAUUUAUCAUCAGGACAGUUGUCGGGAUCAUCCUAAGGGGCAGGAAAAUUUCCUGCAAAAUGGACCAAUCUUUCAGGCAGCCGCCUGGCACCUUCAGCGUCCUGCGGGAAAACACAAACAUGCCCUCGUCCCCAUAUUAAUACCGGAUCAGGGCCACUCCAUACACCCGUGAGGGGAUCUUUCCACCUCACUUGAGCGUUAGGAUGCCACAGCCGUUCUGCUGCGGAAAUUUCUGAGCAUCCACAAUCAGAAAAUUCAAGAUGAAGAGAGCAUGAUGUAAAUAAUUCUGUGAGGAUAAAGGGUAUAACUCCCCCUUUUUAUUUUUUGCAAUUGAUUUUUUAGAGCACCAUGGGCUCUUUCCACAAUCCCUUGGCCUUGCGGGUUAUAAGGAAUACCUGUUUUAUGGGCGAUACCCAUCUGCUUGCAAAAGAUUUGAAAAGCUUUACUAGUAUAUCCCAUGCCAUUAUCAGUUUUAAGAACAGUAGGGACCCCAGUUGUGGCAAAGCAUGUUAAACAAUGGGCUAUCACAUGUUUUGUAGCUUCUCCAGUUUGUGCAGUGGCCAUAAUAAAUCCUGAAAAGGUAUCAAUACUUACAUGUAUAUAUUUUAACUUUGCAAAUUCAGCAAUAUGGGUAACAUCCAUUUGCCAUAACUGAUUAGGUUUAAGGCCGCUGGGAUUUACCCCAUAAUGAGGGACAGAAUGAUGUGUAGGACAGGCAGAACAUUGCUUAACUAUUUGCCGAGCGGCUUCUCGAGAUAUAUGGAAUUGUUUUCUUAAACUGUGGCUAUUUUGAUGAUGCAGAGCGUGAGACUGCUGAGCUAAUUCCAAUUGACUGAAAGCUACUAGCCAUGUAGCCUGAUCUGCAAGAUCAUUUCCCUUUGCCAGGGGUCCAGGAAGCCCAGAGUGAGUCCUAAUGUGACCCACAUAACAAGGACAGGUCCGGGCAGGUAUGCAUCGUUGUGUCUGAGCAAAGAGCUCCUGUAUUUGAUUAUUGGCAGCAUCAAUAUAAGCAACUGUUUCAAGCGCCUGCAAAGCCCUAACAAUAUAAUGACUAUCUGUAUACAAAUUGAAAUAAUGGGCCAAAAGUUCAAACACCGUAGCAAUGGUGUGAAGCUCAACAAUCUGAGUGGAGGCAGGGGCUGUAUGAACAAUCUGUGGCUUUCCUUGAAUAACAUAUGCCACAAUACCAUUGGAAGACCCAUCAGUGAAAACUACUUGAGCAUUUUUUAUGGGUUCCUGUUUCAUAAUCUUGGGAAACACUAAAGCAUGAAUAUUAACAAAUUGCAAUAAUUUAUCCUUGGGGAUAUGGUUAUCU